AGGGGUGUAGCUCAACUGGUAGAGUAGCGGUCUCCAAAACCGUCGGUUGCGGGUUCGAGUCCUGCCACCCCUGCCA
rnacentral:tRNA from 1 species